rnacentral:rRNA from 1 species
AGUGAACGCUGGCGGUAGGCCUAACACAUGCAAGUCGAACGGCAGCACAGAGGAGCUUGCUCCUUGGGUGGCGAGUGGCGGACGGGUGAGGAAUACAUCGGAAUCUACUCUGUCGUGGGGGAUAACGUAGGGAAACUUACGCUAAUACCGCAUACGACCUACGGGUGAAAGCAGGGGACCUUCGGGCCUUGCGCGAUUGAAUGAGCCGAUGUCGGAUUAGCUAGUUGGCGGGGCAAAGGCCCACCAAGGCGACGAUCCGUAGCUGGGCUGAGAGGAUGAUCGGCCACACUGGAACUGAGACACGGUCCAGACUCCUACGGUGGGCAGCAGUGGGGAAUAUUGAACAAUGGGCGCAAGCCUGAUCCAGCCAUACCGCGUGGGUGAAGAAGGCCUUCGGGUUGUAAAGCCCUUUUGUUGGGGAAGAAAUCCAGCUGGCUAAUACCCGGUUGGGAUGACGGUACCCAAAGAAUAAGCACCGGCUAACUUCGUGCCAGCAGCCGCGGUAA